rnacentral:lncRNA from 1 species
CGGUUGGAAUCAUCAUCCCCAACAUUAUCCCAACUUUCAUUUUGUGGUAUUGAACCUUCUUUAAAAUUUAUAUAGAUCCAUUCACUUAAAUUAAAGUUGUCCAGAAACCAAAUGGGUCUUCGGACGACGCAGACGAUAACGACAUCAUAGCAAUAUACGAACCGAAAAAAAAACAUUGCGGGGAAACAUGGCAAUACAGUUCACACA